CGUAGUAUUAAUGUACAAAAAAACCUCUAUAAAAUGGCGGCAUUUUAUCUAUUUAGAGGAACAUGUUAUAUAAUCGACAAUACACGAUUAAUUUUACUUAUUUUUAAAUUUUAUAUACCUCCGUUCGUAAAUUAAUUUUAAUACAUUUUUAAAAUAUUAUUAUAAAAUAUUAGGUAAAGGUGUAAACUAUAAAUAAGAAAUAAUGUGUUACAUUAAACCCAAUUUAAGAAAAAUGUUUUUAAAAACUUUUAGAAAAAGGAUUUAAGUGUAAUGUUAUAAUAAUAUUUUAAUUUGAAUUAGAUAACAAAUGUGC
rnacentral:rRNA from 1 species